rnacentral:rRNA from 1 species
CCCUUAGAUGUUCUGGGCCGCACACGCGCUACAAUGGCAAAGUCAACGAGCUUAUCCUAUGCUGACAAGCACAGGUAAUCUUUUCAGUCUUUGUCGUGAUGGGGAUAGACCCUUGUAAUUAUUGGUCUCCAACGAGGAAUUCCUAGUAAACGCAAGUCAUCAACUUGCAUUGAUUACGUCCCUGCCCUUUGUACACACCGCCCGUCGCACCUACCGAUUGAAUGGUCCGGUGAAGUCUUCGGACCGAUGCUGACUCGUCGGCAACGGAAAGUUGAGUAAACCUUACCAUUUAGAGGAAGGUGAAGUCGUAACA